rnacentral:rRNA from 1 species
AGAGUUUGAUCAUGGCUCAGGACGAACGCUGGCGGCGUGCUUAACACAUGCAAGUCGAACGGAAAGGCCCUUCGGGGUGCUCGAGUGGCGAACGGGUGAGUAACACGUGGGUGAUCUGCCCUGCACUUUGGGAUAAGCCUGGGAAACUGGGUCUAAUACCGGAUAGGACUCCGAGAUGCAUGUCUUGGGGUGGAAAGCUUUUGCGGUGUGGGAUGGGCCCGCGGCCUAUCAGCUUGUUGGUGGGGUGAUGGCCUACCAAGGCGACGACGGGUAGCCGGCCUGAGAGGGUGUCCGGCCACACUGGGACUGAGAUACGGCCCAGACUCCUACGGGAGGCAGCAGUGGGGAAUAUUGCACAAUGGGCGCAAGCCUGAUGCAGCGACGCCGCGUGAGGGAUGACGGCCUUCGGGUUGUAAACCUCUUUCAGUACCGACGAAGCGUAAGUGACGGUAGGUACAGAAGAAGCACCGGCCAACUACGUGCCAGCAGCCGCGGUAAUACGUAGGGUGCGAGCGUUGUCCGGAAUUACUGGGCGUAAAAGAGCUCGUAGGUGGUUUGUCGCGUUGUUCGUGAAAACUCACAGCUUAACUGUGGGCGUGCGGGCGAUACGGGCAGACUGGAGUACUGCAGGGGAGACUGGAAUUCCUGGUGUAGCGGUGGAAUGCGCAGAUAUCAGGAGGAACACCGGUGGCGAAGGCGGGUCUCUGGGCAGUAACUGACGCUGAGGAGCGAAAGCGUGGGGAGCGAACAGGAUUAGAUACCCUAGUAGUCC